GAUGAAGAACGUAGCGAAAUGCGAUAAGUAAUGUGAAUUGCAGAAUUCAGUGAAUCAUCGAAUCUUUGAACGCACAUUGCGACCGCUAGUAUUCUGGCGGGCAUGCCUGUUCGAGCGUCAUUUCAACCCUCAGGCCCCCAGUGCCUGGCGUUGGGGAUCGGCCGCUGGCGUCUUUCGGGGCGCCUGGCCGGCCCCGAAAUCUAGUGGCGGUCUCGCUGUAGUCCUCCUCUGCGUAGUAGCACAACCUCGCACUUGGAACUCGGCGGUGGCCAUGCCGUUAAACACCCCACUUCUGAAAGUUGACCUCGGAUCAGGUAGGAAUACCCGCUGAACUUAAGCAUAUCAAUAAGCGGAGGA
rnacentral:misc_RNA from 1 species